AGCGUACACGGUGGAUGCCCUGGCAGUCAGAGGCGAUGAAGGACGUGCUAAUCUGCGAUAAGCGUCGGUAAGGUGAUAUGAACCGUUAUAACCGGCGAUUUCCGAAUGGGGAAACCCAGUGUGAUUCGUCACACUAUCAUUAACUGAAUCCAUAGGUUAAUGAGGCGAACCGGGGGAACUGAAACAUCUAAGUACCCCGAGGAAAAGAAAUCAACCGAGAUUCCCCCAGUAGCGGCGAGCGAACGGGGAGCAGCCCAGAGCCUGAAUCAGUGUGUGUGUUAGUGGAAGCGUCUGGAAAGGCGCGCGAUACAGGGUGACAGCCCCGUACACAAAAAUGCACAUGCUGUGAGCUCGAUGAGUAGGGCGGGACACGUGGUAUCCUGUCUGAAUAUGGGGGGACCAUCCUCCAAGGCUAAAUACUCCUGACUGACCGAUAGUGAACCAGUACCGUGAGGGAAAGGCGAAAAGAACCCCGGCGAGGGGAGUGAAAAAGAACCUGAAACCGUGUACGUACAAGCAGUGGGAGCACGCUUAGGCGUGUGACUGCGUACCUUUUGUAUAAUGGGUCAGCGACUUAUAUUCUGUAGCAAGGUUAACCGAAUAGGGGAGCCGAAGGGAAACCGAGUCUUAACUGGGCGUUAAGUUGCAGGGUAUAGACCCGAAACCCGGUGAUCUAGCCAUGGGCAGGUUGAAGGUUGGGUAACACUAACUGGAGGACCGAACCGACUAAUGUUGAAAAAUUAGCGGAUGACUUGUGGCUGGGGGUGAAAGGCCAAUCAAACCGGGAGAUAGCUGGUUCUCCCCGAAAGCUAUUUAGGUAGCGCCUCGUGAAUUCAUCUCCGGGGGUAGAGCACUGUUUCGGCAAGGGGGUCAUCCCGACUUACCAACCCGAUGCAAACURCGAAUACCGGAGAAUGUUAUCACGGGAGACACACGGCGGGUGCUAACGUCCGUCGUGAAGAGGGAAACAACCCAGACCGCCAGCUAAGGUCCCAAAGUCAUGGUUAAGUGGGAAACGAUGUGGGAAGGCCCAGACAGCCAGGAUGUUGGCUUAGAAGCAGCCAUCAUUUAAAGAAAGCGUAAUAGCUCACUGGUCGAGUCGGCCUGCGCGGAAGAUGUAACGGGGCUAAACCAUGCACCGAAGCUGCGGCAGCGACGCUUAUGCGUUGUUGGGUAGGGGAGCGUUCUGUAAGCCUGYGAAGGUGUGCUGUGAGGCAUGCUGGAGGUAUCAGAAGUGCGAAUGCUGACAUAAGUAACGAUAAAGCGGGUGAAAAGCCCGCUCGCCGGAAGACCAAGGGUUCCUGUCCAACGUUAAUCGGGGCAGGGUGAGUCGACCCCUAAGGCGAGGCCGAAAGGCGUAGUCGAUGGGAAACAGGUUAAUAUUCCUGUACUUGGUGUUACUGCGAAGGGGGGACGGAGAAGGCUAUGUUGGCCGGGCGACGGUUGUCCCGGUUUAAGCGUGUAGGCUGGUUUUCCAGGCAAAUCCGGAAAAUCAAGGCUGAGGCGUGAUGACGAGGCACUACGGUGCUGAAGCAACAAAUGCCCUGCUUCCAGGAAAAGCCUCUAAGCAUCAGGUAACAUCAAAUCGUACCCCAAACCGACACAGGUGGUCAGGUAGAGAAUACCAAGGCGCUUGAGAGAACUCGGGUGAAGGAACUAGGCAAAAUGGUGCCGUAACUUCGGGAGAAGGCACGCUGAUAUGUAGGUGAAGUCCCUCGCGGAUGGAGCUGAAAUCAGUCGAAGAUACCAGCUGGCUGCAACUGUUUAUUAAAAACACAGCACUGUGCAAACACGAAAGUGGACGUAUACGGUGUGACGCCUGCCCGGUGCCGGAAGGUUAAUUGAUGGGGUUAGCGCAAGCGAAGCUCUUGAUCGAAGCCCCGGUAAACGGCGGCCGUAACUAUAACGGUCCUAAGGUAGCGAAAUUCCUUGUCGGGUAAGUUCCGACCUGCACGAAUGGCGUAAUGAUGGCCAGGCUGUCUCCACCCGAGACUCAGUGAAAUUGAACUCGCUGUGAAGAUGCAGUGUACCCGCGGCAAGACGGAAAGACCCCGUGAACCUUUACUAUAGCUUGACACUGAACAUUGAGCCUUGAUGUGUAGGAUAGGUGGGAGGCUUWGAAGUGUGGACGCCAGUCUGCAUGGAGCCGACCUUGAAAUACCACCCUUUAAUGUUUGAUGUUCUAACGUUGACCCGUGAUCCGGGUUGCGGACAGUGUCUGGUGGGUAGUUUGACUGGGGCGGUCUCCUCCUAAAGAGUAACGGAGGAGCACGAAGGUUGGCUAAUCCUGGUCGGACAUCAGGAGGUUAGUGCAAUGGCAUAAGCCAGCUUGACUGCGAGCGUGACGGCGCGAGCAGGUGCGAAAGCAGGUCAUAGUGAUCCGGUGGUUCUGAAUGGAAGGGCCAUCGC
rnacentral:rRNA from 1 species